AUGUCACGAGAAAACGGCACCAUCACAGAGAACAUACAGACACCACCACAGCAGCCGAGCAGGGUCUAUUCCAACUGAGAGCCGAAACUGGAUUAAAUUUACUUUUGGAGCCUUUGACUUGUUGCGAUCAUGCCGGAUUUAUCAAGAACACAGUCUUGGCAUAAUCAGCAGGAUCAGAUGACACAGGCAGACUCCUCACUGGCUGCAGCGUUGUGUAACACCGGCCGGUGCUGUGUCGAUCGUCCCGGACGGUUGCGGGGAGAAGUUCUGUGUCCUGGAUCCGUCCCAAAACAGCCAUGAGAGAGAAAGAAAGCUUUGUUCUCUGAUGGACAUUCGAGAUAAGAAUAAUAAUCCGGUGCCAAAUCCAAAUAGAGUAAAAGAUGUAAACAUUUAAAAACGACAGCAGGGUGUGUCCCUACCACUCUCUCACCCAUCCCCUCUGUGAACAAGUGUACGGGAAAAGUGUUUUGUGGUCAGAGGAGGUGUAGAGGGUUCAGGGGGAACAAUGGAUAGUGAGGGCGUCGGUCGGAGAAGAGUGUAAAUCAGAUGGUUUGAGCAUGACAGGGGGGUAGAGUGAGGACUACCAGGGUGCUACUGAUGGUGAGAGAGCAGGCUGAUCUCCUGAUGAGAGACCUGAAGUCAAAUCUAGACAAAUCUCUGCUGUAAUUUAACAAACCUGUCAGUGUCAUAACUCAGAGAAAAUAAGAAAAGAAACGUUACACAAAUUGAAGUAGAAAUCACAAUUAUUCCAAGACAUGAAGAUUUGUAUUAUUCUUUCAAAAGUAAGAGGUGGAGAGUGUCACGUAAUGAGGCAACCGGCCACCGUUACUACUCCUCGGAUUAAAAAACAAAGAGCUUCCCACUUGCAGAAGCAUGUCCAGCUGAUGUGAAUAUGUAUUAGUGUUUACUAGAGAACAGAACGUUUUAUUCUCUCCUCUGGAGCCACUCCCCCACCGGCCACUAGAGACAAGGACGUAGCUCCUAGAACCUCCUCUCCCUCCCCUGUUGCCUUUGUUUAUAGGAACCAGCUCGAGGACCGACACCUCACGUCAGAUCUGUCCAGUCUCACUCAUCUCUAUCUAUGUUUUCUUAGGUUCACGUCAACAAGGAUGACAGCGCGGCAGCUCUUAGCCAAACAUCAGAGUGCAGCAUGAGGCCUGUAACACAAACCGCCCUGUGACCGCCUGUCGACGCCGCCAUUGGUCGAUUCAGCUCAGAUAUAAACAAAGUUCAGAUUUAGCUUCAUGAAAAAUCCCCCCCCCCGGCUGCAAAAAGGCUCAACCCUGUUGCCAUGUUAAGAUGGAACCUGUUGCUAGUGGCAACAGCCCAGUCGACACCGCUGUCACUGUGGAUUGAUAAAUAUCUCCAAGUCUCUUUACUCUAAAAUAAUUGAAUAAUUCCUUUUGGAUUUUUGGGUGUUCAUAUAUAUUCAAGUCAUCUUCAUCGUGAAGCCCGACCCCAGCCUCUGCAGGAUGAUACACACGUAGGAUUUAAAAUCAUUUUGAUGAACUCAAGUUGUACGAUUUUCUUUUUUUCUGCCAUUUUUAUUUGAAUGAUGAGUCUUGGUUUCCUGUUGUAACGCCUCCGAGCCCCUGACCCAAGCCUAAUCCAGAAACUGUUCCCUGUGGUGGUGCCAACAUUCGAUCAGGUUUCCCUUUGUUAUACUCACUGGUCUAUUGCUGUACAUAUGUGUCUCUAUUUCAAAUGAGUCGUAAAAACACUGCAAACAAGGUAAUGAAACCCAGAGUAGAUAUAAAGCAGAGUUUCUGCGCAAGAUCGAGUCGAAUUCACUUGUCUGUCUGUUGUGUGAUCACGAGUGACGGACAGGGUUGAGGAACAUGAGACAACAGCAUGUGACAAAUUAACAGACAAAGACGUCCCUCAAAAUGUCAUAACUUCCUCAAAUGAACUGUUGGGAAUUGAAAAUGUUAAUCUGUGUGUUCUGAUUAUAUGUAUAAGGGGGGGGAAGGUUCAGAUUUUAUAUAUACACAGAUGUAUAAGGGGAAAUAAAAGCUUGGCGUACUCGGUGUACUAAUGAAGCACUAACGUCGACUUGGCUACUGUCGCCAGGCAGCCAAUGCAGCUGUGGCAGCAGCUGACGUGUCAGUCGGCACGGCAGCGCCUGGAUCCUGUGACCUGCAUCCUGCCCCAGCCAGAGGGUCACCGCUGACUCCGAGUCUCUCUCCUAUUUCACUGCACGUUCACAACAACCUAUGACUACUUGAAUGAACUCUGACCAGAACGGCAUCAAGAAGAAGAACAUUAAAAGGAAAAAGAGAAAAUAGGUCAGAAACGUCAUGAAGGAUGAGACAGGCAGCGACACUGACACGCCUUGAGGAAUAUUACCCUCGAUGUGAAACCUAAUCAAUGUCAUGUGAAAUGAAAGAAACUGUGUAGUUAAGUGUUACUGACGGAGAGCUGAUUGAGAUUUAUUUCUGUCUUGUCCGGUGUUUGUCCUUAAAAUGCCUAAAAUGAUUAAAUCCGUCUUAGCACAUUCAGGUCUGACUGAAAACAACACUAAUUUUCGUUUUGUGAGUCCACUGUGAGAACUUCUCUUUUGUUGCAGGUAUACACUCUGUGUGGUGGUGGUGUUGUGUGUUUUUUUGCUUCACUGCACGUGUCACUAAAAUACAGUUGGACAGAAAGGUCCCGGAAUAAAA